AGGUGUAUAAUGUUAAACUAAAAUUGAGUGUUGAAUGGAAGAGUGUUGCAAUAUUGACGAAUGAUAAAUAAAUAUGGAAUGAAAUAAAUGCUGAAGUGUUACUGGCGGCAGAUGCAGCAGCAGAAUAUGAACAUAAACCAAGACAUUACGACUGGUUUGAUAACGAACGCUGGCAGACAGAAGAGGAGUGGGAUCACGCUCACAGAAUAAUUAAAGGUAGACCAACUCAUUGCAGGCAGAUUCCACUCUCAGGUUAAGAUAGAAAUACACUAUCAGAGCCAUUGUUUACUGUUUCUAUAGUAAUACAAAAUGUAUGUCAUAUUCUACUUCAAAAUCAAGCCUCCAGCUUCAAGUGUUUAUAAGAAACAAUAUAAUUUAGAUUAAAUUCAAUUCAGGGAAUUUAAGUCGAUAUGCGAUCCAGUAACUUUUGAAACAGUUUAACUAUUAAAAUCGCCACUUAACUUGAAAAGUGAAACAAAUUUUAAACAAAAUAUGGUCUUGUUAAAUAUUACUCCAAAAAGCAUGGAAUAUGAAGGUUUCAGAAUUCAACAGGUGAUUAUUUUAUCUCACAAGACCCCUGGAUAUGGUAAACUGCUCCCAGGAAAGUAUCAGUCAACUCAAAGAAAAAUACACAUACAAAUUGUGUGCCCUUGAACAGUAUUAACUUCUGAUUGCAAUGUCCAAGUACAGGUCCUAAUUCACUCCAGCUAAAAUCCUCACAACCAAUUUCAGUACUGCCAUUCAACCUAUGUCUUUAUCCUCAUUGGGUCCUCUGUAUUGACCUACUCCCUGAAUCACAGUUUUAUAGUGAUUAAUUUAUGCCACAAAUGUUUGAAUGCUGUAUUUUUGGGCACAUAGCAGCCUUGGGUACCUUGUACCAGUACAGAAGACAAUGCUUCGGAAACUGGAUCUGUUCCAUUGUUAGAUGGGGGGGAGGGGGCAAACCUACUGUGUUGGGUUUGUUAGAAAGACCUAACCCAACACAGUAUAUGUCUCCCCCCUUUUUCUGAGGAUGGAAACAUCCAAUUUCUGAAAUAUUAUGUUCUCUAGUCUUUUUAGAAUACUGGGCAAUGGACAAACUCCUAAAACCCAGUAAUUCCAAGUACUCUUAUACACCAUCAUUAGAACACCUUAAUCCUACUAUAAUGUCUUCAGUUUUGGAAUAUUUGUAAUACUUCAUUCUGUGUAGCCUGUUCAUAUCACUCCCUUUUCUCUUGACUUGUUCUAAUCUGUGGGCUAUAUUGCCAAAUAUGGAUCUCUGGAACAAAUGAUGAUAUAAUUAUGAUGAUGAUUAUGGUGAAGAUUGUUGUUGUUACAGAAUUUCACAACAUGGACAUAAAAAAUGUCCUAUGUGCUCAACAGCAUUUGCAGUAUGAUGACUUUGGUUCCCAGUGUAUUUGAAAAUUGAAUCUAGUAACUAUCUACUAAUGACACAACAGUUUGUGUUAUCUGAUGAUGAUGCAACCUCAGAGAUGUUUCAGACACAGUGUAACAGAUGAGUGUGACUGUAUCCUGCGGGAAACCAACGAGAUACUGUAGCGUGAAUUUUCAUUUACAUGUAUUGAAGCCAUUAUUUUCUUGAAAUCAGUCUAGUGCCUUAUGUUAAGAAAAGGUUUCAUCAGGUUCACCUAUUUUCAUUUCACCUAAAUUGACUGAAUCACCAGAGAUGAAUUGUUAUCCUAGUCAACAAUAUCUAAACUGUUCCAUUUCCAAGCAGACUUGCAGAUAUGCACACCUCAGCAUUUUGCACAAAACAGAUCUCGACCAACCACAAACCAGGAAGAUUAUCUAUUAGCUUCAGAGUGCUGAAAUUGACUGAGACACUGCAACAUACAUAUUUAAAUGCCCUAUUAAAUUUCUUUGCAGUUUAAUGAUUGAAAUAUCCUAAAUGCAUAUAAUCUGCAAAGCUAUAAGUAAUCCUUAGUAGAUGCAGUCUUGAUGGCAACACAUGAAAUAAUUCUAAUCACUCGGUACUUUAUGGCAAUUUUUUAUCAUGAAUGCAUGAAGCAGAAGGGAAAGAGACUACAUGAACUCUGAGAGACCACAGGCCUUGCUAGCUUCGCUGUUACCGGCAGCAGUUCAGGGAAGGAAUGAGAGACGUUAAAAAAUUAAGUGGUACUUAUCAGAAGACACAGGCCAACCACAAAUCUCGAAACAUACUUCAGAGAAGAUCUAUCAUUCAUUUUCAAUGAUGUAAUAAGUGGUGACUCACAAGUUUGAAGCACAGGUGUGUGAUGAGUAUGUCAUCAUUGGUAACAGAGCCAUGUCACAAUGUAAGGCCUCUAGCCGCAUGGCAGAGUGUAUAACAGGAACCUCUUGGAUGAGGAUGCAUCCAUCCACAUCUACCGCAACACAGACAUGGGUAUAAGUUGUUGCAUGCACUAUUUGCACAAAUGAAUUAAAUCAUCAUGGCAAAAUCAUGUUUGAUCAUCUAAACUAUGAAAUAAAUUUCACUUAAAUUUA